GGAUGGGCCAGCCGACAGAUGGCGACGGCCGCGGUCUCGAAAACCGUUGGGGCUCACGCCCGUGCGAGUUCGACCCUCGCCCCAUCCGCCA
rnacentral:tRNA from 1 species